rnacentral:rRNA from 1 species
GACGAACGCUGGCGGCGUGCUUAACACAUGCAAGUCGAACGGAAAGGCCUCUUUCGGGGGGUCCUCGAGUGGCGAACGGGUGAGUAACACGCGAGUAACCUGCCCUUGACUUUGGGAUAACUUCAGGAAACUGGGGCUAUUACCGGAUAGGAGCUUCUGCUGCAUGGUGGGGGUUGGAAAGUUUCGGCGGUUUGGGAUGGGUUCGCGGCUGAUCAGCUUGUUGGCGGGGGAGUGGCUUACCAAGGCUUUGGCGGGUAGCCGGCCCGGGCGGGUGACCGGCCACAUUGAGACUGGGAUUCGGACCAGGCUCCUACGGGUGGGAGAAGUAGGGGAGGUUGAAAUAGGAGUAGAAGCCUGAUGCUGCAACGGCGUGGGCGGGAUGACGGUCUAGGGGUUGGAAUUCGAAUUCGCUCAUAACGAAGCUGUGUAUGACAGUAGUGGGUAAAGAAGCACCGGCUAACUACGUG